ensembl:snRNA LOC120096453 U6 spliceosomal RNA
GUACUCACUUCAGCAGCAUGUAUACUAAAAUUGGAACAAUAAAGAGAAGAUUAGCAUGCCCCCUGUACAAGGAUGAUGUGUAAAUUAGUGAGGUGUUCCAUAUUUUU